CAACCUAGUAUAUGCAGAUAUCUUUUGAAAUAGAGAUAGUCCUGAAUAUGGUGUCUCCAUAAUUAGCUGUUUGAUGUUGAAUGCAAUUGAGUUUUCCUGAUCCAGUGAACCAGACAAUGGAAAUCAUUGGGGAUUAACAGCAGGGCUAUGUAAUGAUUCUUGAUAUAGCAAACCUUUCUUUCCUUGUUCACUGAUAAAAAUAUUUUAUCAGUAAAUAAAGCACUCAAUUCAAAUGCUUACAAUUUUAAAUUUUAAAAGGACAUCCAGAAUUGA
rnacentral:lncRNA from 1 species